UUAAGCGACUAAGCGUACACGGUGGAUGCCCUGGCAGUCAGAGGCGAUGAAGGACGUGCUAAUCUGCGAAAAGCGUCGGUAAGGUGAUAUGAACCGUUAUAACCGGCGAUGUCCGAAUGGGGAAACCCAGUGCAAUUCGUUGCACUAUCGUUAACUGAAUACAUAGGUUAACGAGGCGAACCGGGGGAACUGAAACAUCUAAGUACCCCGAGGAAAAGAAAUCAACCGAGAUUCCCCCAGUAGCGGCGAGCGAACGGGGAGCAGCCCAGAGUCUGAAUCAGCUUGUGUGUUAGUGGAACGGUCUGGAAAGUCCGACGGUACAGGGUGAUAGUCCCGUACACCAAAAUGCACAGGCUGUGAACUCGAAGAGUAGGGCGGGACACGUGGUAUCCUGUCUGAAUAUGGGGGGACCAUCCUCCAAGGCUAAAUACUCCUGACUGACCGAUAGUGAACCAGUACCGUGAGGGAAAGGCGAAAAGAACCCCGGCGAGGGGAGUGAAAAAGAACCUGAAACCGUGUACGUACAAGCAGUGGGAGCACCUUCGGGUGUGACUGCGUACCUUUUGUAUAAUGGGUCAGCGACUUAUAUUCUGUAGCAAGGUUAACCGUAUAGGGGAGCCGCAGGGAAACCGAGUCUUAACUGGGCGUUAAGUUGCAGGGUAUAGACCCGAAACCCGGUGAUCUAGCCAUGGGCAGGUUGAAGGUUGGGUAACACUAACUGGAGGACCGAACCGACUAAUGUUGAAAAAUUAGCGGAUGACUUGUGGCUGGGGGUGAAAGGCCAAUCAAACCGGGAGAUAGCUGGUUCUCCCCGAAAGCUAUUUAGGUAGCGCCUCGUGAACUCAUCUUCGGGGGUAGAGCACUGUUUCGGCUAGGGGGUCAUCCCGACUUACCAACCCGAUGCAAACUACGAAUACCGAAGAAUGUUAUCACGGGAGACACACGGCGGGUGCUAACGUCCGUCGUGAAGAGGGAAACAACCCAGACCGCCAGCUAAGGUCCCAAAGUCAUGGUUAAGUGGGAAACGAUGUGGGAAGGCACAGACAGCCAGGAUGUUGGCUUAGAAGCAGCCAUCAUUUAAAGAAAGCGUAAUAGCUCACUGGUCGAGUCGGCCUGCGCGGAAGAUGUAACGGGGCUAAACCAUGCACCGAAGCUGCGGCAGCGACACUAUGUGUUGUUGGGUAGGGGAGCGUUCUGUAAGCCUGCGAAGGUGACCUGUGAGGGUUGCUGGAGGUAUCAGAAGUGCGAAUGCUGACAUAAGUAACGAUAAAGCGGGUGAAAAGCCCGCUCGCCGGAAGACCAAGGGUUCCUGUCCAACGUUAAUCGGGGCAGGGUGAGUCGACCCCUAAGGCGAGGCCGAAAGGCGUAGUCGAUGGGAAACAGGUUAAUAUUCCUGUACUUGGUGUUACUGCGAAGGGGGGACGGAGAAGGCUAUGUUAGCCGGGCGACGGUUGUCCCGGUUUAAGCAUGUAGGCUGGUUAUCCAGGCAAAUCCGGAUAAUCAAGGCUGAGGUGUGAUGACGAGGCACUACGGUGCUGAAGUAACAAAUGCCCUGCUUCCAGGAAAAGCCUCUAAGCAUCAGGUAACAUCAAAUCGUACCCCAAACCGACACAGGUGGUCAGGUAGAGAAUACCAAGGCGCUUGAGAGAACUCGGGUGAAGGAACUAGGCAAAAUGGUGCCGUAACUUCGGGAGAAGGCACGCUGGUGUGUAGGUGAAGCCCCUGCGGGUGGAGCUGAGACCAGUCGAAGAUACCAGCUGGCUGCAACUGUUUAUUAAAAACACAGCACUGUGCAAACACGAAAGUGGACGUAUACGGUGUGACGCCUGCCCGGUGCCGGAAGGUUAAUUGAUGGGGUUAUCCGUAAGGAGAAGCUCUUGAUCGAAGCCCCGGUAAACGGCGGCCGUAACUAUAACGGUCCUAAGGUAGCGAAAUUCCUUGUCGGGUAAGUUCCGACCUGCACGAAUGGCGUAAUGAUGGCCAGGCUGUCUCCACCCGAGACUCAGUGAAAUUGAACUCGCUGUGAAGAUGCAGUGUACCCGCGGCAAGACGGAAAGACCCCGUGAACCUUUACUAUAGCUUGACACUGAACAUUGAGCCUUGAUGUGUAGGAUAGGUGGGAGGCUUUGAAGCGUGGACGCCAGUCUGCGUGGAGCCAACCUUGAAAUACCACCCUUUAAUGUUUGAUGUUCUAACGUUGGCCCCUGACCGGGGUUGCGGACAGUGUCUGGUGGGUAGUUUGACUGGGGCGGUCUCCUCCCAAAGCGUAACGGAGGAGCACGAAGGUUAGCUAAUCCUGGUCGGACAUCAGGAGGUUAGUGCAAUGGCAUAAGCUAGCUUGACUGCGAGCGUGACGGCGCGAGCAGGUGCGAAAGCAGGUCAUAGUGAUCCGGUGGUUCUGAAUGGAAGGGCCAUCGCUCAACGGAUAAAAGGUACUCCGGGGAUAACAGGCUGAUACCGCCCAAGAGUUCAUAUCGACGGCGGUGUUUGGCACCUCGAUGUCGGCUCAUCACAUCCUGGGGCUGAAGUAGGUCCCAAGGGUAUGGCUGUUCGCCAUUUAAAGUGGUACGCGAGCUGGGUUUAGAACGUCGUGAGACAGUUCGGUCCCUAUCUGCCGUGGGCGCUGGAGAAUUGAGGGGGGCUGCUCCUAGUACGAGAGGACCGGAGUGGACGCAUCACUGGUGUUCGGGUUGUCAUGCCAAUGGCACUGCCCGGUAGCUAAAUGCGGAAGAGAUAAGUGCUGAAAGCAUCUAAGCACGAAACUUGCCCCGAGAUGAGUUCUCCCUGAGACUUUAAGUCUCCUGAAGGAACGUUAAAGACGAUGACGUUGAUAGGCCGGGUGUGUAAGCGCAGCGAUGCGUUGAGCUAACCGGUACUAAUGAACCGUGAGGCUUAACCUU
rnacentral:rRNA from 1 species